GCGGGCCGCCUCCUGGCGGCGGGGCGCGGCGCUGCGCGGAGGGGCGGCCCCGGCCGGCGCCGCUGGCGGACGCUGCGCCGCGCCGAGCAUGCGAGUGCCGGCGGGGCGGGCUGCAGCGGCCGGCCGGAGCCGGGGGAGGCGGCGGAGCCAUGCUGCUGGCCUCGGCCGUGGUGGUGUGGGAAUGGCUGAACGAGCACGGGCGCUGGCGGCCCUACAGCCCGGCCGUCAGCCACCACAUCGAGGCGGUGGCCCGCGGCGGGCCACGGGCGGGCGGCAGCGUCGUGCUGGGCCAGGCCGACAGCCGCCUGGCGCCCUACAUCAUCGACCUGCAGUCCAUGCACCAGUUCCGCCAGGACACGGGCACUAUCCGUCCUGUCCGGCGCAGCUACUACGACCCAUCGUCAGCGCCAGGCAAGGGUGUCGUGUGGGAGUGGGAGAAUGACAGCGGGUCCUGGACGCCGUACGACAUGGACGUGGGCAUUACCAUCCAGCGCGCCUACGAGAAGCAGCACCCGUGGGUGGACCUGAGCGCCAUUGGCUUCUGCUACGUCAUUGACUUUGCCACCAUGGGCCAGAUCAACCGGCAGACCCAGCGCAAGCGCCGUGUCCGCCGCCGCCUCGACAUGGUCUACCCACUGGUGUCGGGCACCCUGCCCAAGUCGCAGUCCUGGCCAGCAAGCCCUGGGGCAGCGGCAGCCCCCCUGGCUCCCACCUGCACCUGUCCCCAGUGCCUCCUGGUCAUGAGCGUCAAAGCCACCGUGUCAGCCACCGGCCCUGGCGCCGCCACCCUGCAGCCCCGCAAAGCCCCCCCUGCGCCACCCGCUGCACUCAAAGCCCCCGCACCGGCCCCAGGGGCCAAGGCGCCCGACAGCGUGGCAGUGGCGCGUGGCUCACUGAAGCCGCCCGCAGCCCAGGGUGCCCGGCGGCAGGCGGCCAGCGCGCUGGCCCUGGGCUCUGCUGCCAGCCCCCCCGGCACAGGCAGCAGCAAGGCGGCGCACCCUGGCCUCGGCACCCUGAACCGCAGCCACCUCCAGCGUCUGGCCAUCGCCCAGUCGCGGGUGCUCAUCGCCUCUGGGGUCCCCACUGUGCCCGUGAAGAACCUCACCGGCUCCAGCCCUGUCAACCCAGCACUGGCAGGGAUCACCGGGAUCCUGAUGAGCGCAGCUGGGCUGCCAGUCUGCCUGACACGUCCCCCCAAGCUGGUGCUGCAUCCCCCGCCUGUCAGCAAAAGCGAGAUCCAGUCCAUCCCUGGUAUCUCCCACACCUGUCGCAAGACCACCAAGAAACAGGCCAAGAAGGGUAAAAGCCCGGAGGAGGUACUGAAAAAAUACCUGCAGAAGGUGCGGCAUCCGCCGGAUGAGGACUGCACCAUCUGCAUGGAGCGCCUCUCUGCCCCCUCCGGCUACAAGGGACCCCAGCCGGCCGUCAAGCCUGACCUGGUGGGGAAGCUGGUGAAAUGUGGCCACAUCUUCCACCUCCACUGCCUGGUCGCCAUGUACAACAACGGCAACAAGGAUGGGAGCCUGCAGUGUCCCACCUGCAAAACCAUCUACGGGGUGAAGACGGGGACGCAGCCGCCAGGAAAGAUGGAGUAUCACCUCAUCCCUCACGCGCUGCCAGGCCACUCUGACUGCAAAACCAUCCGCAUCAUCUACAACAUCCCGCCAGGAGUGCAGGGACCAGAGCAUCCAAAUCCUGGGAAGAGCUUCACUGCCCGCGGCUUCCCCCGGCACUGCUACCUGCCAGACAGCGAGAAGGGCAGAAAGGUACUGAAGUUGCUGCUGGUAGCCUGGGACCGGCGCUUGAUCUUUGCAAUCGGGACCUCCAGCACCACAGGGCCUCUCAGAGCCACCUGCGAUGCAGUGCUGGGGGCUACCAUGGCUUUGGCGACUGUCCCGGAGGUGCUCUCCCCAUUCACGGGGACUGGCUGUGCUCAUGCCCCGGACCUGCAACACCCCCAGGGUUGGGGAGCAGAGUGGGGGCAGCAGCCGCCGCUGCCCAGGCUGUCCCCAGCCCUGCACCGCUGCUGCCAGGGGCUUGGGGCCUCCCAGCCUGUCUUGUUGCAUUCCCCUCCUGGUUUUCCUGCGCCCCCGGGGACUCUGGUUGGGAGGGGUGCCCGUACCCAUCCUGCUGUGCGUGGUUCUGUUGUCAUCACCGUUUUUCCUCUCCGUGGCCGGGGGGUGUGUCACCCUCAGCUGCGCACCCCAUGGAGCCGGUGGCGGGGGUCAAUAAAGCGGAUGGCAAGGGAUGCUCGCUGUCCCUGCACGGCCUGGCCUCUCUGUUGUCUUCUGUCCGUCGUCUGUGUGGCCAGGGAGGAAACCUCUUUCCCCAGGAAAACCCCUUUUUGGGCAGCUCUGCAGCGCUGCGAUUUCUCCUCCACCCAAGCCCCAGGUCUUCCCCACCGCAGAAAAGCCCUGGCUGGAGCUAUGCAAAACCCUCCUGCGAUCUAGGGGAGGAAACAGGGUUCCCCAUCCUCCCCGGGUGCUGGCCCAAUGGCUCUUAACAUGACUCAGUCUUUUCACCACAUGACUUAUUUUUCUGUUUUAAUGCCGCGUUGCGUGUGCAGUUAGUUGCUGGCUGAAAUAAAGCUGACCGGUGCCUCUCUGCAUGCCUGUGUAUAUCUAUCCCGAUAGAUAUACAUGGAGACGGGUUGCCCCCUGUUUGCGGCAGGCAGGAAUUGGUGGGUGACUCGCAAAGCGUUGCCAAUGCGUGUGUGCCGGCCCUGGUGCCGGCAGCAGCCGGGGGGCUCUGCACCGGGGGUGGGGGCUGUUCCCAGAGCUGGCUGCGGCGCACACCCUGGUCCAAGGUUUUACAGGCAGCAGGUCUCUGCUGGGCAUGAACCGGAGCCCUGCCGGUGCUCUCGUGUGCCGGCGGAGGGUAGGGGGCUGCACAGCUUCCCCGGUGUUUUGAGUGCAGCCUGGGGCGAUGUGGAUGACUGUGAUCAGGGCUUCCUUCUUGUAUGGCCCCGUGUCCCCAGUGACCUGUUGAAGGGCCCUUUUUUUGGUUUUGGGGUGGAGUCACAGCUGGGACAUGACUUGCAGUGGAAACUCGGUUGUCUCUGAAGGGGCAGAGCCCUGGGCCUGGUUGCAGCAGGGAACGCAGCCGCAGAGGUGCCAGGGUCACGGUGACGGGCUGACCCUGAGAGGCAGCCCCCACACUCAGCGGGGAGGGAUGUCUGAAGGGCCCUGGAGCCUCCCAGGGGCUCAAGGCUGGAGCUUGGGGGUCUGGUGGAGGGUGAGAGCUUGUGUCGCUCUGUGGAGGGGUGAGCCUGGGACCUCUGUGCGGACAGGGACCCUCGGCCCAAGGUGGCUGGUGGCAUGGCACAGCUUUGACCCCAGGAGGGAGGGUGGGCAGGGGGCUUUGCUGGGGUUUGGGGCACAAGGCAACACCUGGGAGCUGCGGGGCAGGAUGAUGCUUAUGCCAUCAGCCCCUCUGUCUCGUGCUGGUACCCCUCACCCACGCUCAGCACAGUGCUGUCCUCGGGGCUCGCGGAUGCCUGGCUGUCCCCUUUGCCCAUUGUGCUGUACCCCCUUGCCCUGUACCUCCGGCGGCUGUACCAGACUGUUGCCAGGAUGGUGGCCAGCCCUGCCAGAACUGCGGCGGUCACGCCAGCCACCUCGCCCCCUGUCAGCCCCUGGCCCUUCACCAUCUCUGCCGCGUGAUGCAUCUCCUCUGGCUGGGCCAGCCGCCACGCCUGGCUCUGCCCGUCCCGGACCCAGGCGCUGUCCCCGUCCCCGCUGCUCACCAGCACCGUGUCAAUGGCCGGCAGGUUGCUGGGGGGUCGGGUGAAGGGCGGCAGGCGUGCAGGCGGCAGCGAGCCCCCUGUGAAGAUGCCAGCCUGGACACAGUACUGCACCUGGCAGCUAUCGCUGAUGAGCGCCAAGUGCUGGCUGAAGCCUGGGGGGCAGCUCUUGGCCUGGGGGUCUUUGGCAGUGCCCUGGUGCCGCCCCACCAAGGGGUUCCCUGCCUGGCAGCUGAAGAAGCCCCCGAAAGGCACCGCAUACUGGCCACCAACCUCGUAGUCCUGGCUCACGCACACCCUGAGCUCGUCAAAGAGCUUCAGUGGGAGGUACCCCGAGGGGCAGGACUGGGCACCGGUGAUGGCGUUGGCACUGCGGGUGCUGAACAGCCCUCCAAAGAGGUAUCCUGAGUCUGGGUCCGCCGACCCGCUCGUAGCACACCAGUAGGCACUGAAUUGCACCCGGGAGAGCCAGAAGACGUCCCGGCACUCACGGUGGCAGAAGAUGCCCAGGAUGCACUUGUUGUGGCACUCCAGGUGGCUGUGGCCUUCCUCCCGCUCCUGCGUGCCCAGCAGCACUGGUGUGUAGGCGGUGGGGCAAGAGAAAGCCCCAGUGAGGGGGUUCCUCUGCUCUAGUGCCUGGCACAACGUGCUGGUGUCAGGGCCGGCCAGCCCAGCACACUCCUGGAAGACUCCCCCAAAGGUGAAGUUCGUCAUGGUGCCCUUGCAGGAGCCAUCGUCGGCAUUGGCGUGAAAGUUGAAGUUGGAUGAAGUGGCGUCUGUGCAGCCCGGGUAGGUGUUGAAGGUGUAGUAGCGGCGGAUUGCCAUCUCCACCCGCCUGGCCAGCUUCUUCACCGUGGGGGUGGGCAGCUCUGGCAGGGUGCCGGGGUUGAUGAAGAAGUAAAGGGGCAGCCCUGAGCGGUCAAGAGCCACCAGCUGGUUUCUGAUCCCCUCCUGCCAGGUCUUGAGGGUGAUGCCCGGGUAGAAGGGGGCCCCGCCAACGCUCUCUACCCUGGAGUUGGUGCGAUUACCCAGAUACUGCCUGGUGAAGCCGGAGCUGCUGUUCAGGGACUCCUGGUUUUUCACACUGAUGAUGCUGUGGAAGACCACGCCGGCUGAGGUAGUGACAGCAUUCCGUGUGGCCCAGCUGUCCUUCAGGAAGGUUGCCUUGAUCUGAUCCUCUUGCACCAAGCUGGCACCGGCAUCCACGGAGGUGAUGGUGUGGGUGCCGUAGUUAAGCACCAGCACCUCUGCCAGAAAAUCAGCCAUCCGCGUCUGGUUGUUCUCCAGGUGGCUGGCAAUAGUCAGCAGCUGCUUCUUGAAGCCCUUGUCCAGGACUGCUGCGGGGUCGACCUUGGCAGUGUAAACCACGUUCCUGACUUGCACUCGGGUGGUGACAGCACGGUCUUUCACUUGGUGGGUCUUGGUCCGGUGGAAGUCAUAGGAGAACUUGCCAUUGAUGGAGGAGAAGAGGGACAGCUCCAGGUUGAUGGAGGCGGAGGUGAGGCUUUGGUAAUCUUUCCAGGACUCGAUGAUCUCAGAGUUCAUGUCCAGGUUGCUCUGCUUGCGAGGGAUAGUGAAGACCUCAUCAGGGAUGAUGUAAGAUCCAUCUUCUGUGGUCUUGCACAGUGAGUAGCCCAGGUUGACGACUCUGCCCAUAUCCACAUUCCUGAGGUUAUCCCAGCCUCCCCCCGGCAGGACUUCCAGAGUUGGGAGGUUCAGGGCCUUCUUGCAGUCCGGAGAGCCCGCAGAGGAGGGCAGCUCAGCCCCUCUUGCCCAAGCCCCUGACACCCAGGCGAGCAGGACCCCCCACAGCACCCGGCCCAUGUUGACCCGGUGCAGGGACCUCACCAGACGUCCAAGCGGUGAGGCUGGAGCUGGGAAAUGAGCUGGCUGGGGUGCAGCUGCCGGGUGGUUCCUCCUUUUGGGGGCUGAAUUAACAAAAGGGAAAGGAGAAGUGAGAACUGAUGAAUGUGAGAAAACACGGAGUGCCACCGAGACAAGGGGGUGGGGAGCAGAAAGCAGAGGUGCCUGCCUGUUGCCUCCCUGUUGAGAGAGUUCCUUCUCCCCAUAAAAGCUGCUCUGCUGGGGAUGGGACAGAGAAAUCUCGCCCUCAGCUCUUCACUGUGCCCAGGGAAUGUCGCUGUGUGAACCUCCCUCAGCUAGUGCAUGGGUGGCUCCCCAGGUGAGUCCUCUGUGCCCCUGGGUGACUCUGGCUCCUGCAUGCCACGCAAGGGACCUGUCCCCAGCCCCGCAGCCUUGGGGUUCCACUUGCACAAUGGGGUGAGAUCUGGCCCUGCUUUGCUGGGCCAGGCUUUGCUGCUGACCCCAAGGCUUUCCUUUGUGGCAGAGGUGAGGAGGAGAAGCGGUGCCCUGUGGUUUCAGUGUGGGGGACAGUGCAAUGCUUGUGUCCCUUCUCUCUUGGGGAGGAGGCUGCCCGAGACACUUGGGCAGGUACUAGUGGGUUUGGAAGUUUCCCCAUGGGGGGCAGCCCGUGGCACAGGUGUCCCCCAUGCAGCACCAUCUGCAUUAGGGACCUCCGCAGCCUCCUCUAGCCCAUCACUGUCCUUCCCCCAGCCGAGAAAGCGCCUCCUGCUCAGGAUCGGUGGUUCUGGUGGCACCGAGCCUAGGGAUGCUGGUGUGCGGCUGGACCCACGUUCAGUGGCACAGGGCAGCUGCUGUGUGUUUUGGGGAAUAAACCACUAAAGCAGCUUCUGCUGUGAAAGCUGUGACUCUUUCCAUAUGGACGGGAUCACUUCCCCUCUUUUUGCUGGUUAGUUCCUCUUCCUAGGAUGGUUCUGGCAGACGAGAAGGCUGAAAUGAGAGCUGCGAUGGAGGGGGGACAACUAUAGAUAUGUGUGUGUGAUUUUGCCAGGGUAAUGCUGGGAGUGGGGGGGGAAAGGAUGACCUGAAAUUUUUAGGGCUCUGUAAACCAUCUCGACAGGGCCAGCUCAUUCACCAGCACAGCGAGGAGCCCAGGGGGGCCCUGGGGACGGUCACACUGCACCACUGGGACCGGCGAUGGCCACCACAUGCUCAGAGAUGGCAAGGCUGGACGGGAGGAUGUGUAGUUCUGACUUCAGUUGGUAAGAAACCUUCCAAAACGGCAGUAUUCCUCAUUCCAAGAAGCUGCGUUUUAUGAACCUGCCCUCCGAGUGGAUCUUCCCGGGUGAUGUGAUCGGCAGUGGCCUCACCAGCAACAGGACUGUUCAUUUCCUUUGAAACAGCCAACCCAGGUCCAUUUCCUUCCACGGGGCCCAGCACGGCAGGCCUGGCGAAGUGGCGCGUUUCCCGGGCAGGUCGGGGCUGUGCCUCUUGCCUGGGCCGUGCAGCCACCUGUCCCUGCUCGUCGUGUCACAUCCAUGUGUGAAUCGAUAUCUGUCUAAAUGUACAUAAUUGUAAUAAUAUGAUUGUAACAGUAUGCCAACACCUGCAAGUCUAAAAAGAUGUAUCCACAGAGGAGGCUAAACAGGUGCGUAAGUAUAACUAUUCUAGGUAAGUGUUGUAUAUAAGCGUAAACAAUAUUCUGUAUAAGUUUAAGCAGAUACAUACAUGUAAAUACGUACACAAGUGUGUAGAUGUCUAAGUAGAUAUAUAUUAUAGUGGAAAUAGAUUUUAUAUAUAUAUAUGAAACAAAGAUAUUCCCUAAAUACAUGUGUAAAAAGAGACAUAAGAGUCAAUGUCAGUGGUGUACAAGGUUUUUAAAAUGCAAAGAAAUCCUGUUUACAGAAAGGAUUAAGAAACUCGUCCUCCCCUGGAAGUGUCCCUGGCGGGGGCGCUCGAGGGAAGGGCCGGGGCUGCCCCGGGCGGAACGGCACCCGCACCGUGCGGGGGCGGGGGCGGGGCGGGGCGGGGCGGGGCGGGCUGCGUGCGAGCCGAGCGCUUUGUUCCGCCACCGCGGCAGCUGGCGCUGCUGCGAGCUCUGAGGGACGGGGGUGACGGUUUUCACUGCUCGCCGGGCGCUGGGUGGGCCCAGUUUAGGUUUCAUGUAGUCUAACUUAAGUAAGAGCGUACUGAAUAGAAUUAGUCACAUAGACUUACAGGGCUGUGUGUCUUUUUUGUUUUAAAUACACUCUCUGCUUCCUGUUGCUGGAAGGCUGUGUGCUGUGACGUUCUGCUCAUAUUUACCAAAAGCAGCUACAGGUUACACUGAACAUCUGUGAGAUCACGUGUGGUUUGCACUUCGCAGGGAAAGAAACAGAAAAGAGGAAAAGAAAUAGAAGGAGAAUUAAUAGAAAUAAUAGAUAGAAAUAGAUGGGGUCGAGUAGAAAUAGAACAGAACAAAGCGUCGCGCCGGAUACGCGAAUCUCCUUGGGGCUGGGGCAGGGAGGCGAGUGGGCGGAGAGAAUGCAGAGUGAGAUUCGAAGCCUGCCAAUCAGAUUGCGACACGUAAGAGGGGGGCGGGGCGCAUGAGCACGAUGGGCGGGCCGAGGUGGGGCGGGGAAAUGCAAAUCAGAGGCGUGGCUACGCAAAUAGGGCACUAGAGAGCUCGAACGGGCCGCCGGGAGGUUCCGCCGAGGGGGGUUCUGUGGGUGGGGUGGCUCUCCAGAGCGGAUUCUCUGUUGCGGGUUGUCGCGCGUGACUCGUUUGCUGCGGGUGUUCCCGGGUGGUCGCCCCGGUGCAGGUCACCCCCGCACACGCCGCCCGUUCAGCCCUGGCUCCGCGGUGGCGCCCCGGUGCUCCCCGUGCGCCGCCCGCCGGGUGUCGCUGGUGCUGCCGCCCGGUGGCCGCAGCGCGGUACUGCAGCCCGGCGCGGGGAGCGCGGCACCGGCUCAAACCAGAGCCCAAGCCCCGCGCUCGUGGGGCUGCCUGGCAGAGCUGGGCUCGGUUUGGAGCGGGUUUAGUGCCCGUGUCAAAUUCCAGAGGAAACUUUGGCUAGUCAGUUAAUGGAAACGGUUUUAGUGGCGUGUAUUACAUGUUAAUAUACAAAGCAGGGUUACAGUGUUCUAUAACAUGCAUAGGACGUAUAUUUAAGACCAUUCUAGAUGUAAACAAGCAUUAUUGUUUUUAUUGGGAUCUUUUGGUGUCUAAAUUCUUGAGCAGGGAGAAAACACGUGUGAAACUCCUGCUAAACCAGCCGCGGGGUAUGGCGGAAUGAAUGCGGGACAGAUCACGUUCAGACGCUCCACUCGUGUUUCGGAGAGCACAGCGCGCGCCCAUUCGCACUCGGCGGUCGGUGACUGCACGUCGUGCAAACCGGCGCUGCGCACCCCGUUCCGCUGCCCCGGCCACGGCCGCUCCCGCGCUCCCGCGCGGCCUUUCUGUCCGAACCCUCACGGGGCGGGGCUGGCACGGGGCUGGCACUGCGCGUGCGCGGAGCCGCCGCGUCUCGGGGGCGGUGCCGGGGCGACCGUUGGGCGGAGCCGCGCGCGGGGCCAGCGCUGGGCGGGGCGGCCAUGGCGGGUGGGCCGGGCGCGCGCCGGGGCUGCUCCGCACCGGGCGGGCGGGGAGCGGAGCGGGCGCCGCGCUGCCCCUGGGGCCGCUGCGGAUGCCGCGCAGCACGGGGCAGCACCGGCGGCUGCUCCAGCGGCUACUCCAGCCGCGGCGCCGGGCCGGGUUCCUGCGGGGGAAGCCUCGCUGCCGGCGGGAUUUUGGUGUUGUGGUUGUUUUUUGGCUGGUUGUUUUGGACGUGUUGGGUUUUCUCGGCUUGCCCUUUGCAGUGGCUUCCAGGGCCGUUAUCCGGGACGUGUUGAGGCGUUGUGACCCCGCAGCUGCAGGCGCCGCCCUGUGCGUGCAGCUGCUCCGCGAGUUCGAGACCCCUCAGCGGCUCCUGUGCCCGAGCGGGGCUCCAGCCCGCUCGGCAGAACUGCGCCUGCUCGCGAAGCCUGGCUCGUCAGGCAGGGAAAAAUGGCUCAAAUUGUACUUUUUUCAGUGGAGCAACUAUAAAAAUAAGCCAGAGGCUGUCAUGGCAGUAACUCAGUGCCAGUGAUGUCCGUGUUUCCUUGCUGAGUACCUGACAGCUUCUCUGUGACAUGGAAGGGGUGAAGAACACGUGGGAAGUGACCAGAGGCUCGCAGUUGCCAAGGCCAGUGCUGCAGGCUGGCUCCUGGGGUGUCUGAUUUCCCUUUGGCUCCUCGUGCACACACACGUACAGCCCACAUAGGCCCGCGGCUUUUAUCUGAAUGGUUUCAGGCAGGGCUGUUGUUUGUAAGAAUCUUUUUUAAUGACAGACCUGUUCUCAUCUGGAACGGAUGUGCACUGCGAUGUAUCUCCAAAGCAAAGCUUGUGGGGCAUUGUCACUUUUUCAAACAAGGUGAAUAUAACCUGCAAAAAACACCCUUGGCAUAGAAGCAUCUGAACACUUGUAAAGGUCAGGGUUGUGCUUUCUCCGUAUAAUUCCAUAGGUUCAGUGUGUGUCCUCCAUCAAAUGUCAUGGCCUAAAGAUGUUGUUAUGGCUUUGACACAAAUCACUUUGGUGUGUAUUAAAACAGAAACGUUUGUGCUUAGAAAAGGUAACGGAAGGUACGGCUUUCCUAACCGAGGAUGAUGAGAAGCACUGUGGAAACAUUGGUUUUCUAACCCUGGAUAUCCAGGAAAACAAAACGACCAGUUGUUGCGAGAUGUUGGUACGGAGGCUGCGCUGCAAGGGAACUGCCCCAGUCUCCGAACGCUCCUGAAUUCCGCAGCCCUGCGGCUGCACGGGUGUGAGCUCUGCCGGGAGCUGAGGUGUGCUUGGGAAUCCCCGGCAGCAAGGAACAACAGUACCUGCAUAUUGCUCCUUCUGCACAUUGUCUUCGAUUAAUGCUGACCUGAGGUAUUUAUCUGCAGUACAACACGGUGUAGAUACUAAAUCAGGUCUGGAGGCCAUCUCAGGAGAUGGAUUAGCUCAUCAUUACAUCAAAAAUAGAAGGAAUGCUACUUCCUUGUUUCUUGUGCUUAUGUAAUAAGGCACAUAUGUGGUAGUAACAGAGUUCGUGACCCCUGUACUUCAUAUGCAUAUAGCAGUGUAAAAAUAAGUUAUUAAAAUUAAACUGGCUUUCAGGUUUUCUGUUUUAAUUACUUUUCCAA